rnacentral:rRNA from 1 species
UACGGAGGAUCCGAGCGUUAUCCGGAUUUAUUGGGUUUAAAGGGUGCGCAGGCGGGAGAUUAAGUCGGCGGUGAAAUUUUGCAGCUCAACUGUAAAAGUGCCUUCGAAACUGGUUUCCUUGAGUGUGGAUGAAGUAGGCGGAAUUUGUGGUGUAGCGGUGAAAUGCAUAGAUAUCACGAGGAACUCCGAUUGCGAAGGCAGCUUACUAAGCUACUACUGACGCUCAGGCACGAAGGCGUGGGGAUCAAACAGGAUUAGAUACCCGCGUA